AGCUUUGUGCAGUGGUAGUAUCGUAGCCAAUGAGCUUUAUCCAAGGCGUGAUUAUUGCUAAUCAAAGCUACGUUAUGCAA
rnacentral:snRNA from 1 species